AGGUCAUGAUGUGUUAAUAUAAUCUCCCCUGCCUUUUUGUUCCAAACUAGUAUCAAUGAACCAGCUGAGUCAUGUACAAGAGAACAAAUUUGCAAAAUCAAUGGUAAGCUGAUAACUAUUCAACCAGAAACACAUUAAUCAAUAUACAAGAGUACAAUGAUAAGCAAAUGGGAAUGAUCCUAAACACAUAUUGGCUGGUUGCUCAUCAAGUCUCAUCUCCUGCAUUAUCCUAAACUGCUUCAUCGGAAAAUUCCUUGCUAAACACAGAAAUAUCAAGAAUUAGAGCAAUUACUGUAACCAAACUUGGAAAUCAACAUAUUUACAACACACGACUCUCAAUGACGAUUAUGAGUAAACUGCUUGUAAAUCACUAAUUAGGAGCCGAUACAUGUGCGGCUGAAACGAAAGGUGGGAGGGAGCUGAAGGAUUUACCGUCGAUGGGGGGCAUGCAAACGUGGAUUCGUCGGAGAGGGCGGAGAAGGGGACACCGUGGAGGCGGCUCCGCCGCCGGAGCUUCGCGUUCGUCGCCGCCGCCAAAAACCUUCUCUCGCCGCAGCAUCUCGCUCGAUCAGAGAGAUGACGAGGCCCAUACCGGCCCACCUAAC
rnacentral:lncRNA from 1 species